UACAGAGGGGGCAAGCGUUGUUCGGAAUUACUGGGCGUAAAGGGCGCGUAGGCGGCCUUCUAAGUCGAACGUGAAAUCCCCGGGCUCAACCCGGGAACUGCGUCCGAUACUGGAAGGCUUGAAUCCGGGAGAGGGAUGCGGAAUUCCAGGUGUAGCGGUGAAAUGCGUAGAUAUCUGGAGGAACACCGGUGGCGAAGGCGGCAUCCUGGACCGGUAUUGACGCUGAGGCGCGAAAGCCAGGGGAGCAAACAGG
rnacentral:rRNA from 1 species